GAAGUCUUUAAAGGCUACUAUAUUUUCAGUUUUUCUUUCUUUUUUGAAAUCCAAUAGAAUUGGAAAGAACUGUGUUUUAUAUUUAAUUGACUUGAAAUUCAUUAGUGAUUGGAGGAAAUUAUAUUCAGUACUUUAUUAUCCAUGUAAGGCUAAUAAGAAUUUGAAGUGCUUAAGACUUAAAGUAGUACUCCAAGCUGCCGAUGUACCUUCUUUCUGAGGAUCAAUUAUACGUAAUUCUACUCGAUCCGCAAAUUCUAAUAAAAGAUUGAAAUGUUUAAUUUUGACUGAACUUGAUGUCGUACGCCGAGCUGCCUACGUACCUUCUUUUUGAACAUCCAGUCACACGUAGUUCUACUCUAUCCAUUUCAUUUUCUAUAAGACUUUGAUAAAGCACUAGAUUUCUUCGGCACAUGUAAGUAAAGCAAAGUAUGACAGUUCAAGAGAUAAUGGAAUAAGAAUUACUAUUGAGAGUUAGAAGAAACGAAGAGUUCGAGAGAUGAUGGCUAAAAAGGAAACUAGGAAUGAUGAUUCACUUGAGUUAGCCCAUAUCAUAACCUUCAGCACCAUAAAGACUAGCUAGUCAAGUCACUUCUGAUCUAAAAUCUAUCUGAGAAAAUAGAGGUCAAAAAUUUGUUAGGAUAAGAUAUGGUCAAAAAACACCUAACCAAGAUUUGGCGAGAUCUGUAUUGAGUUAGUUUGCCAGGUGUUUUGCCUAUAAAUGCAUCGCUUGCUCCUACGGAUACAUAAGUUAUGCAGUAUAUGAUUGGCAAAUGCAUCAAUUGAUAGUUAUGAACAGUAAACUAAAUCAAAGGAACCAAAUCACAGGUUUUACUGCACAAAAUAGCAAACGCAAGGAACUUAAUAAAAGAAGCAAAAGUUGAAUCUUUACAUGUCCUUUACUCAUCCCUGUCACUCGUCGUGCGUAAAAGAAACCAUACAAUAUGCAAUAAGUUCUUUUCCUAUAGAAAAAAUAAUAUCUAAGAGAAAAUGAGAACAUACGAAAAAGAGAAGGAAAUUAGACACACUCCCAGAGAAAGGAAAAAAGAAACAAAUUAAAAAAAUGAGACCAACUAACACCCCUAACAAGGAAUACCAUCCAAACUGAAUAUGCAAUCAGUGAUCAAUACAUAGGUCAGUAGCCCAAUAACAACAGAUGCUCCAUUCAAUAACUAUGAAAAGAAAAGAGAUUGCUUUACCUUUUCUUGCCAAUAAUUAUGCCCACAUCAUACAGCUUCACUUGUCCCGCCUAAAAGACAACUUCAAUAUGCAACUAUGUGAUUGUGAAACUUGACAAGGUACAGCUUUCUCAUUGACGAACUUCUCGUGUAAACUCAUAUUUAUGACUAUUUUUUUCAUAAAUUUAUAUAAGAAAGGAAAGAGAUGAGGAAGGAAAAAAGGUACAAAGAAAGUUUUCUAUGGAAGCUUGGAUUUAAAGCCACCUAAUGUGACUGUAAAUUUAAUAAUUAUAAACAGGAAACUAAAUUAAAGAACCAAAUCAUAGAACAUACAUACAUACAUACAUAUAUAUAUAUAUAUAUAUAUAUCUGUAAUAAGCGUCACAGGUUUUACAGCACGCAAAUAACAGAGGCAAUGAACUUAGUAAAAGAAGCAAAAGGUAAAUCUUUACCUCUUAUUGGCAAUAGUUCCUUUACUCAUCCCUGUCUUUUGGCCUGCCUAAAAGAGAUCUUACUAAUAUGCAAUAAUUUAUAUUCUUAUGAAAAAAAUAAUAUUAAAUAGAAAAAAAGGAGAAUAUACAAAAAACAUAGAAUUCCAUAGAUCCCGAUUCAUUUAUGAUGCAAUGGUAUAUUACCAAAGAAUGCUAGAGACACGUAAGCUGAAGAGAAAAGCUUGAAUGCAAAAUACAACCCUAUACGUAGCAUACCUACACCAAGAGUUCCAAUCAAAAUACCAAUGACGUGAGCAUCUUUCGCCUUCUCCACCGGGUAACAUCUGCAUGAAUUGUUACUCGCGAAAAUCCAAGAAUGGCAUGUAAGGAAAGAUCAACGGUACAUCAGGUCGAGGAAAGACAGAUGAUUUAACAUGCAAAAAACAGAAUACGAACUUCAGAAAUAGUAAAUAGAGAUGAAGAGAAGCACACAAGGAUGACUGUGCUGGAAAUAAUACCUACACGUAAGAAUCUGUCUAUGUUAAGAAAAAGUCUGCCACCACAUGAUCUUCUGUUGCAUCAUACCUAACCAAAACCAACAAUAGAAUUAAAGACAACAAACCAUAACAUAGGAACAAGAAUAUCGUACCCUGUUUCUUCAAUAUAUAACCUAGUUUAGCAAACUAAUGACGUCUAAUACAUAUCAAGCGAUAAUAAUUUGAUUUUGUGAUCUAUUUUUCCAAAGCAAACCACUCAAAAAAAUAUCUGACCAGAUUGAAGCAACUACAGUUCAAUUCAUGUUGUCGUCGUAUAAAUGUCGGCACAAAAAAUCAUCAUAUUUUUUAAGAAUAUCAAAACUCAAUAUUUCAUGGGUUCUGUUAAGCAGAAAGGAUAAGAUACCAAACACUGUAAAUUAAGCAAUUAGGGGUCGAAUUGCCUGCAGCAGUGAGAACUACGCUCAUGCAACACGUACACACUGUGAAGUAAUUAAAUACAAAAGCUACUUACAGGUUCAUAAUAAAUUGAAGAAAAUUGAUAAUAAAUGGUCAAUUCGAAGUAAAUAGAAAUAAACAGACAUUUCUUUCCCUUUCUCCCAUUCAUUUGCCAGGAAACUGCACAACUUUCUUAUUUGAUCAACCAAUUUUAAGUUUAUCCAAAGAUGUAGACGAGCAACAACGAAUGCGCGAGACCAUAUUUAGGAUUAAUGUUUGAUAUCGUACUAGAUAGUUUACCCACCUAUGUCGCAACCAUUAAAUGUCACUACAACAUUUGCUAAUGCUGAAUUAUCAGAGUCCAUCCAAAAAGCAAGGGUUCCUCCGUAUUGUGCCAUUCAGGUAAAUCCUAGAUCAAGUCUCCGAUGUUAUACAUGGCACUGGUUGGUGGACCGAUACUGUCACUGUUAGCAUGACAACUAAAUGGUCAAGGGAGUCACUGAAAAUUUAAUUAAAUGAUCAUGGGUACUUAAUAUACCUGUUUGCCACUGACCAACCGUCCAUGCAAGGGCGGAUUCAGAGCAAACAAUUCCACCUAUCACUGCAAAUGUCGUUAAAAGAAAGAAGCGAAUAAACGAAGCGAGAAAGAAAGAGACUUUUCUACAAAAGCUCAAAUUCUACCUCAAAUACAAAGAGAUUAUGUAGUAUUCGCAUAGAAAAUACAUCACGCAAACAAUAAAGCAAAGAAAGAAAGAAGGAAAGAAAAGCAAAGCCAAAAAAAAAAAAAGAAAGAAACGUCUUUCUAACAUCUUUCUCCGAGGGAAUCAAACAGUGCAGCGAUGACUUACCAAACGCAUGAAUAACUGCAUAUUUAAAUGAUAAUUUAAGUUUAGAAACAAACAUAGAAAAAAAGCAAAAAACACAAAGAAAGGAAAGAUAAUAAAGAAACUAUUCUAUCAUAUCUCGAAUUCUGCCUCUAGAAUGCUUCCGUCGUUGUUAGUGAGUGCUGCAAUAUCUGUGAAUGUAUACAAGUUAUGUAGUGUACAAUAAAAAAUAAUAACUGCAAAAAACAAAAUGAAUGUUAACAUAUCCUCAACAAUAACUGUGCCAAAUUAUCAAAAGCCACAUCAAUAUUCUAUAAAUGAUCAUAAGUAGUUAAUAUACCUCUUUCCCACUAACCGCCAUCCAUGCAAAGCGCGAAUCCAGAGCAAACAAUCCCAUCUAUCAUUGCAGAUUUAAUUAAAAGAAAGAAACAAAGCUAAGAAGAAAGACGGAAAGGAACUUUUCUACCAAACCUCAGAAUCUACCUCUAAUGCAAGGAGAUUAUACAGAAUAUUCGAAUAGAAAAUCCAUCAUACAAAUAAUGAAACAAAGAAUGAGUGAAAUAGAUAGAAGGAAGGAAAGAAAAGAAAAGCCAGUCUCCUCAGGAAUUAAAUAGUGCAAGAAGAUCAAGUCAUACGUAAUUUUUGUUCGAUUCACAUUCAAUUCUUUAUUAUUCAUGAACUAUAAUAAAAGAUUGAAAUAUUUAAAUCUGACUGGACUUGGAGUAGUACUCAAAGUUGCCUACGUACCUUCUUUUUUAGAAUCAAGUAAUACGUAGUUAUGUUUAAUCCAUGAAGUCCAAUAAAAAAUUUCAAUGCUUCAGUUUUACUGAACUUGAAGUGGUACGCCAAGCGGCCUACGUACAAUCUUUUUGAGAAUUACGUCAUGCAUAAUUAUGCUCAAUCCGCGAAUUCUAAUAAAAAAUUAAAACGAUUAAUUUGACUGAACUUAGUGUAGUACACCAAGCUGCCUACGUACCUUCUUUUUGAGGAUCAAGUCAUACGUAGUUCUACUCCAUCUGUUUCAUUUUUUUGAUAAGAACUCAUAGAUAAUAAAGUAUUGGAUUUCAAGAAAACUUAAAACGAAAUGCACUGCUAUUCAGGUUUGCAGAUUUCGAGAUGAACGAGAAAUUAAAGAUAUAUGACGUUUUUUUAUUUAAAAGAAAAUAAGGGACCUUUCAAAUAGUUAUAUAUUUCAAGUGAAAUGAAAGAUGAAACUCAAUGUCUUUUGCUCAUUUGUGUAAUUUUCGAUUGUUUCAAGAAAGAUUGGGAAAUGAAAUGGAGUAUAUAGCAAUACAAAUGAAGAAUCGAAGACAAUGACUUUUGCUCCACCGGAUAAUUUUUGAAAAAGUUGAAAAAAUCGCUUUCGUAGUACAAGCAGACUUGAAGAGUGGCUUUUGUUGCUUUUUGGGUUUUGAAGGCAAUAAGAAAAUAAAGAGUCGGUACAUUCUUAGCAUAAUUAAGUUUAAAGAUCGACAGAACAAAACUAAGUUACUGUCAAAUGCUAACAAAGUACUGAUUCUUUCCCUUCAAAUUCUAAAAAGCCACAUACAUCAUUGUUGAAGGUUACUUGUGCUGAACAAAGCGAUGUAAUUUUCAUUUCCAACAUUUCCAAAUAUACCCAGUGCAUUCGAAAGUCAUUGGGAUAGAUUUUCUUCAUUUGCCUUUCUGCGAACACUCCAUUCAUUACUCAAUCUUUUUUGUAGUAGUAAAACAUUACACGGGUAAGCGAAACAAGUUAAAUUUCAUCUUUUAUUUUCUUUGAUAUACGGAAGUCUUUAAAGGAUACUAUAUUUUCAGUUUUUAUUUCUUUUUUGAAAUCCAAUAAAACUGGAAAGCACUGUGUUUUAUAUUUAAUUGACUUGAAAUUCAUUAGUGGUUGGAGGAAAUUUUCUUUCUUUUUUGAAAUCCAAUAGAAUUGGAAAGAACUGUGUUUUAUAUUUAAUUGACUUGAAAUUCAUUAGUGAUUGGAGGAAAUUAUAUUCAGUACUUUAUUAUCCAUGUAAGGCUAAUAAGAAUUUGAAGUGCUUAAGACUUAGAGUAGUACUCCAAGUUGCCGAUGUACCUUCUUUCUGAUGAUCAAAUUAUACGUAAUUCUACUCGAUCCGCAAAUUCUAAUAAAAGAUUGAAAUGUUUAAUUUUGACUGAACUUGGUGUCGUACGCCGAGCUGCCUACGUACCUUCUUUUUGAACAUCCAGUCACACGUAGUUCUACUCUAUCCAUUUCAUUUUCUAUAAGACUUUGAUAAAGCACUAGAUUUCUUCGGCACAUGUAAGUAAAGCAAAGUAUGAUAGUUCAAGAGAUAAUGGAAUAAGAAUUACUAUUGAGAGUUAGAAGAAAUUAAGAGUUCGAGAGAUGAUGGCUAAAAAGGAAACUAGGAAUGAUGAUUCACUUGAGUUAGCCCAUAUCAUAACCUUCAGCACCAUAAAGACUAGCUAGUCAAGUCACUUCUGAUCUAAAAUCUAUCUGAGAACAUAGAGGUCAAAAAUUUGUUAGGAUAAGAUAUGGUCAAAAAACACCUAACCAAGAUUUGGCGAGAUCUGUAUUGAGUUAGUUUGCCAGGUGUUUUGCCUAUAAAUGCAUCGCUUGCACGUAAAUAACAGAGGCAGUGAACUUAGUAAAAGAAGCAAUAGAUAAAUCUUUACCUCUGCAAUAGUUCCUUUACUCAUCCCUGUCUUUUGGCCUGCCUAAAAUAGAUCUUACUAAUAUGCAAUAAUUUAUGUUCUUAUGGAAAAAAUAAUAUUAAAUAGAAAAGAAGAAUAUACAAAAAACAUAGAAUUCCAUAGAUCCCGAUUCAUUUAUGAUGCAAUGGUAUAUUACAAAAGAAUGUUAGAGACACAUAAGCUGAAGAGUAAAACUUGAAUGCAAAAUACAACCCUAUACGUAGCAUACCUGCACCAAGAGUUCCAAUCAAAAUACCAAUGACGUGAGCAUCUUUCGCCUUCUCCACCAGGUAACAUCUGCAUGAACUGUUACUCGCAAAAAUCCAAGAAUGGCAUGUAAGGAAAGAUCAACGGUACAUGAGGUAGAGGAUAAACAGAUGAUUUAACACGCAAAAAACAGAAUACGAACUUCAGAAAUUGUAAAUAGAAAUGAAGAGAAGCACAUAAGGAUGACUGUGCUGGAAAUAACACCUACACUUAAGAAUCUGUCUCUGUUAAGAAAAAGUCUGUCACCGAAUGAUCUUCUGUUGCAUCAUACCUAACCAAAACCAACAAUAGAAUUAAAGAAAAAGUAAUUAAAAAAGGACAACUAGCCAUAACAGAGGAACAAGAAUAUCGUACCCUGCUUCUUCAAUACAUAAUCUAGUUUAGCAAACUAAUGACGUCUAAUACAUAUCAAGCGAUAAUACAUCAUGCAAAUAAUAAAACAAAAAUUGAAUGAAAGAAGGAAGAAAAGAAAAGAAAAGUUUGUUUCUUCGAGAAUCAAACAGUGCAAGAAGAGCAAGUCACAAGUAAUUCUACUCGAUCCGCGUUCAAUUAUUUAUUAUUAAUGAAAUCUAAUAAAAGAUUGAAAUGCUUAAAUCUGACUGAAUUUAGAAUAGUAUUCCAAGUUGCCUGCAUACCUUCUUUCUUAAGAGCAAAUCAAACAUAAUUAUGCUAAAUCCAUGAAAUCUAAAAAAAAAAUUAAUACUUAAAUUUGAUUGAACUUAGAGUGGUACCCUAAUUUGCCUAGGUACUGUCUUUUUGAGAAUCAAGAUAUACAUAAUUGUACUCAAUCUACGAAUUCUGAUAAAAAAUUAAAAUGGUUAAAUUUAACUGAACUUGGUGUAGUAUACCAAGCUACCUACGUAUCUUUUUUUUGAGAAUUAAGUCAUACAUAGUUCUACUCCAUCCAUUUUAUUUUUUGAUGAGAUUUAGUGGAUCAUAAAGUUAUGGAUUUCAAGAAAAUUUAAAAUGAAACACAAUACUAUCCGGAUUUGUCAGAUUUCGAGAUGAAAGAGAAAUUUAAGAUAUAGGAUCUUUCAAAUACUUAUAUAUUUCAAGUAAAAUUAAAGAUGAAACUCUAUAUUUUUUGUUCACUUGUAUAAUUUUUGAUUGCUUCAAGAGAGAUUGAGAAAUGAAAUGGAGCAUAUAGCAAUGUAAAUAAAGAAUAAAAAACAAAGACUAUUGCUUUACCGGGUAUCUUUAGAAAAAGUUGAAAAAAUCACUUUCGUAGCACAAACAGGCUUAAAGAGUGGCUUUUGUUACUUUUUGGGUUUUGAGUGCAAUAAGAAAAUAAAGAAUUGGUACUUUCUUAACAUAAUUAAAUUUAAAGAUCGACAAAACAAGGCUAUAUUACUGUCGAAUGAUAACAAAGAACUAAUUCUUUCCCUUGAAAGUCUAAAAGGCCACAUACGUUAUUGUUGAAGGUUAUUUGUGCUGAAACAAAGCAAUGCAAUUUUCUUUUUCAACAUUUUUAAAUAUACCAGUACAUUCAAAAGUCGUUGUUUUAAAUUUUCUUCAUUUGCCUUGCUAAAGACUCUAUUCCCUACUCAUUCUGUUUUGUAGUAAUAAAAAAUUACACGAGUAAUCAAAAUAAGUUAAAUUUUAUCUUUUAUUUCCUUUGAGAUAUAGAAGUCUUUAAAGGCUAUUAUAUUUUCAAUUUCUCUUUCUUCUUGAAAUCCAAUAGAAUUGGAAAGAAUUGUAUUCCAUAUUCAGUUUACUUGAAACUCAAUAAUAAUUAGAAAAAGUUAUAUUCAGUAUUUUAUUAUCCAUGUAAGUCUAAUAAAAAUUUGAAUGCUUAAAUUUGACAGGACUUGUAGUAAUAUUUCAAGCUGCCGAUGUACCUUUAUAUUUAGAAUCAAGUGAUAUGUAAUUCUUUUUAAUUCACGAAUUUUAAUAAAAAAUUAAAAUGAUUAAAUUUGCUUAAACUUGGUGUACUAUGCCAAGUUGCCAACGUGCCUUCUUUGUUGGAUCAAGUUCUACUCCAUCCAUGUCAUUUUUUAUUAAACUUUGCUAAAGUAGUAGGCAUCUUCAGCACAUGUAAGUAAAGUAGAGUUCGAUAGUUCAAGAGAUAAUGAAACUAGAAUUAUUAUUGGGAGUUAGAAGAAUGGAAAAGUUCGAGAGAUAAUGGCUGAAGAGGAAACGGGGAAUGAUAAUUCACUUGAGUUAGCCCAUAUCAUAACUUUCAACACCAUAAAGACGAGUUAGUCAAGCCACUCAUAAUCCAAAAUCUAUCUUAGAACAUAGAAGUUAAAAAUUUCUUAGAUUAGGAUAGGAUCAAAAAACACCUAACGAAGAUUUGGCAAGAUGUGUACUAAUUUAGUUUGCUAAGUUUUUUUUUGUCUAAAUACAUCACUUGCUCUUAGGGAUACAUAAGUUAUGUAGUAUAUGAUUAGUAAAAGCAUCAAUUAAUAAUUAUGAAUAGGAAACUAAAUCAUAGAAUAUAUAUAUAUAUCUGUAAUAAGUGUUACGGGUUUUACAACGCACAAAUAGCAAAGGCAAAGAACUUAAUAAAAGAAGCAAACGUUUAAUCUUAACCUCUUAGUAGCAAUAAUUCCUUCACCCAUCCCUGUCUCUUUGCCUGCCUAAACGAGAUUAUACUAAUAUGCAAUAAGUUCUUUUCUUAUGAGAAAAAUAAUAUUAAAGAGAAAGUGAGAAUAUACAAAAAAGAGAAGAGAAUUAGACAUACUCCCAAAGAAAGGAAAAAAGAAAUAAACUAAAAAAAUAAGACAGACUAACUCCCCUAACAAGGAAUGCCAUCCAAACUGAAUGUGCAAUUAGUGACAAUACAUAGGUUAGUAGCAUAAUGAAGACAAAUGCUUCAUUCAAAAACUAUGAAAAAAAAUGGAGAAUGUUUUACCUCUUCUUGCCAAUAACUAGGCAAACAUCAUCUGUUUCUCUUAACCCGCCUAAAAGACCACUUCAAUAUGCUAAUAUGUGAUUGUGAAACUUGACGAGGUACCACUUUCUCAUUGAUGGACUUUCUGUGUAAACUCAAAUUUAGAACUUUUUAUUACAAAUUUAUAUGAAAAAGGAAAGAAAUGAGGAAUGAAAGAAGGUAAAAAGAAAGUUUUCUAUGCAAGCUCGGAUUUAAACUAUCCAAUGUGAUUGUAAAUUUAAAUUAAGAAACAAACAUAGAUAGAAAGAAAAAACACAUAGAAGAGAAAGAAAAGAAAGAAUGAAAGAAAGAAAGUUUUCUACCAUAUCUUGGAUUCUCCCUCUAGAAUGCUUCAGUGGCUUUAGGCAAGUGCCAUAAUAUCCAUGAAUAAUAUGCAGAUUAUAUAAUAUACAAUAGCAAAUGCAUCAUUAAAUAACUGUGAAAAAGAAAAUGAAUCAUUAAAUCUCCUCGACAAUAAUUAUGCCAACAUCCUCCUCUUCUCUUAGGAUAUGAUCUAGAAAGGAAAAUUUUUAUUCUAGAUUUAGCUAUUCACUUAGUAAGAGAAUUAGGACUUCCAUCACGUAAUCGCAAGGCCUUUUCCAAGUAUGUACACUAAAGCUAAUAUUCCAUCCUAAUCUUCUUACUUGAUCAUUAUUUUGGCAUAAUUCAAGGUUUAUCAAUGAUUAAAUGUCCCCCUGACUAAAGAAAGCUUCUAUUAAGCUCUUCACUUAAAGAAGACCAUCUUGAUGUAGAAUAAUCCUAAACUAGAUUAGCUUUUCAUACAAUUUCUGUUAAGAACAAAGAACAAGACAUCAAAAAUCAUCCUAUCUCCAUUCACGUACCACCCUUCUAAAAUAUUAUAAGUGAAGGUAGUUACACUAAAUAAAUUAAAACAUGAUUCUAUUUAUUUUCUGUUGAUUUGACCUUAAUAUAAAUAUAAAACAAUACUACUUCCACAGCUACAUUUCUUUAAGGUCAGAGAGAGAGAGAGAGAGGAGGUUUUUUAUAAAAAAAAAUACUUGGUUUUACGAAGUGUAAGAGAUAGAACUUUUAUCCUUUUUUUAACAUUCUUAAAUUUCUAAGACGAGAAUAAUAUAUGCAAUGCAAUUACAUAAUAGCUGCAAAACUUGUUAAUUGUUAAAUGCUGAUCAUACCAUGCAGAUCAAAAUCUUCUAUGUAUCCGGCCUGAAAGAAGGAAAACCGUGCUUCUUCUAACUUAUUCCUUUCUUCCACUGUAUUAGAAUUAAUCAAAUCUCGAAAUUCCAUAACAUAGUCUCCAGUCCAUUGUCUCCCUCUAGAUUGAAAAAGAAGACAAGAUUUGAGUAUUCAAAUCAAACUGCUUUACCUGAAAACAGGCCCAAUAAAUUGUGCAAAGAAACCAGCAUCAAACUGCUUUACCUGGCUAAUAUUGCCCACAUCCACAGCAACAUGACUGUAAUUCUUCCACAACUGCCAGUUGUUUCAGCUUAAAUAAAAUCAUGUUUCCUUCUAUCAUGACCCAGAUUUCGAAACAAUAUAAAUAAAUAAUAAUUUGCAAAAUUACACAUAAAAAAUUACAUAAAAGAAAUAUUUCACACUACAAAUAAUUAAAUAAAAAAACCAUUUUGAUAGACAGAACUUGAAUUUCACGGCCUCCAUGAAUGCAAUGAAUGACUUUAUACUCCUCUUCUUGAUCAUAUGCCUGCAAGUUAGGUGAAAUGUUUUGUAAUUUUUAAAGCAUGGUAGAAAGAUAUAAAUGCUCUCUUUCCAAAUCCAAGGAGUGCCACGACCACCCAUGUACAAAAUAUGAAAUAUUUACAACUAAAUAAAAAUAUCAAUUGGGUCCUCNNNNNNNNNNNNNNNNNNNNNNNNNNNNNNNNNNNNNNNNNNNNNNNNNNNNNNNNNNNNNNNNNNNNNNNNNNNNNNNNNNNNNNNNNNNNNNNNNNNNNNNNNNNNNNNNNNNNNNNNNNNNNNNNNNNNNNNNNNNNNNNNNNNNNNNNNNNNNNNNNNNNNNNNNNNNNNNNNNNNNNNNNNNNNNNNNNNNNNNNNNNNNNNNNNNNNNNNNNNNNNNNNNNNNNNNNNNNNNNNNNNNNNNNNNNNNNNNNNNNNNNNNNNNNNNNNNNNNNNNNNNNNNNNNNNNNNNNNNNNNNNNNNNNNNNNNNNNNNNNNNNNNNNNNNNNNNNNNNNNNNNNNNNNNNNNNNNNNNNNNNNNNNNNNNNNNNNNNNNNNNNNNNNNNNNNNNNNNNNNNNNNNNNNNNNNNNNNNNNNAGAUUAUUUGCCACAUUUUAUAAAACAAGUAAAAGACAUGAACAUAGUACACCAAGCUGCCUAUGUGCCUUCUUUUUGAAGAUCAAGUCAUACAUAAUUCUACUCUAUUUCAUUUUUUAUAAGACUUUGAUAAAGUACUAUAUUUCUUUGGCACAUGUAAGUAAAACAAAGUUCGAUAGUUCAAGAGAUAAUUGAAUAAAAAUUAGUAUUGGGAGUUAGAAGAAUAGAAGAGUUCGAGAGAUGAUGGCUGAAGAGGAAACUAGGAAUGAUAAUUCACUUGAGUUAUCCCAUAUCAUAACCUUCAGCACCAUAAAGACGAGUUAGUCAAGCCACUCCUCAUCCAAAAUCUAUCUUGGAACAUAGAGGUCAAAAAUUUGUUAGGAUAGGACAUGGUCAAAAAACACCUAACCAAAAUUUGGCAAGAUCUGUAUUGAAUUAGUUUGCUAGGUGUUUUGCCUCUAAAUGCAUUACUUGCUCUUAAGGAUACAUAAGUUAUGCAGUAUAUGAUUAGUAAAUGCAUCAAUUCAUAAUUAUGAACAGGAAACUAAAUCAAAUAACCAAAAUCAUAGAACAUAUAUAUAUAUAUAUAUAUAUAUAUCUGUAACAAGCGUCACAGGUUUUACAUCACGCAAAUAGCAAAGGCAAGAAACUUAAUAAAAGAAGUAAAAGUUGAAUCUUUACCUCUUAUUGGCAAUAAGUCCUUUACUCAUCCCUUUCUUUUGGCCUGCCUAAAGGAGAUCAUACUAACAUGAAAUAUGUUCUUUUCUUAUGAAAAAAAUAAUAUUAAAGAGAAAUGGAGAAUAUACAAAAAAGAGAAGAGGAUUAGAUACACUCCCAAAGAAAGGAAAAAAGAAUUAAACUAAAAAAAUGAAACAGACUAACACCCCUAACAAAGAAUAACAUCCAAACUGAAUAUGCAAUCAGUGAUCAAUACAUAGAUCAGUAGCGUAACGAUAACAAAUAUUUCAUUCAAUAACUAUGAAAAGAAAAGGUGAAUCCUUGCAUUUCCUCAGCAAUAAUUAUGCCAACAUCCUCCUCUUCUCUCAGGAUAUGAUCUAGAAUGGAAAAUUUCAGAUCCAGAUUUAGCCGUUCGCUUAGUAAGAGAAUUAGGAUCUCAUCAAACAAUUGCAAGUAAAGCAAAAGUUCCAUUCCAAUCUUCCGACUUGAUCAUUUUUUCUGCAUAAUUCAAGGUUUAUCAAUGAUAAAAUAUGAAUUGACUAAAGAAAGCUUCUAUCCAGCUCUUCAAUUCAAGAGGACCACAUUGAUGUAAAAUAAGCCUAAUCUAGAUUAGUUUUUCAUACAAUCUUCUGUUAAGAACAACUAACAAGACAUCAAAAUCAUCCUAUCCCCAUUUACGUACUAAUCCUUCUAAAACAUGAUAAGUGAAGUCAGUGACAUUAAAUAAGUUAAAAUAUGACUCUAUUUAUUCCCUGUUGAAAUGUUGAAAACAGAAGUUCUUUUAGGUAAAAGCAGAAGUUGUUUCGACUUUUAAUAAAGAUGAAAUCAAAAGCUAGAAAUUAAAACAUAAUUAUUAAAACAAAAUUUAUUUUAAAAUUAAACAAUAAUUUAAAAUUAAUAUUCAUAUUCAAUAAAAUAAAUAAAUUAAUUAAUAAAAAUAAAUAUUUUAAUAUGAUCAAAUUAUUAGAAUAGUUUUUCAAAAUAAUUUUAUUUAAAUAAUUAGAAAAAAUAUUUUUUUUAUUUAUAUAAUUUUUUAUCAUUUUAACAUAUAUUAUUAAUUUUAUAACAGAACUAGCUAAAUAUAAUAUCAUAUUUUGUAUUCAAAACACUCUUACAGUAAGUUUUAACAAACACUAUACUAGUUUUCACCUUAAAAUUUGUUUUACUGAAAACCAUUUCCAUAGUAUUUAUAAACAUCAUACCAUGUGCUUCAAAUAUUACAGCAGGGCUUACAUUAAACAAAAUUAAUGUAAGCCUUUCCUAUGCGAAGAUGAAUGAUCUACCGAAGCCAAGUGCAAAAGAACACAAAAGGUAUCUAUCGAGGAGACUUCACCAAAUCUAGUAGCCAUUUACUUGAUUGUAGGAAUCCAACAUUGAAGAAUAAGAACAGGCUAUCAUUAUCACAGUGCAGACCCAUAGUGGUACCACGAUGUAAGUGAAAAUUGAAAACAAAGUGAGACAUACAUUUAAUUGGCAAAUACACUUCAACCACAUAUAUGAAAAUUUGUAAGACACAGCAGAGAAUAUGUGUGUGCAAAGUUGAAAUUUUAAAGAAACAAAGUAUUCUAGGAGACGUGGAGUUUAUGAGCACAAAAAUGCCGUAAGGUUCUUUGUCUUUUAAAUACUGUAAAUAUUUCCAUCCACCAUCUAUUACUGAAAGGCCAGAGAUGAAGAACAGGCCCAAUAAACUGUGUAAAGAAACCAGCAUCAAACCGGUUUACCUGGCUAACAUUGCUCACAUCAACAGCAACAUGACUGUAAUUCUUCCACAACUGCCAGCCUUUUCGUCUGAAAUAAAAUCACGUUUCCUUCCUAUCAUGACCCAGAUUUCGAAACGAUAGAAAUAAACAAUAAUUUGCAAAAUUACACAAAAAAAAUUACAGAAAAAAAAUAUAUCAGACUACAAACAAUUAAAUAAAAGAAUCAUUUUGAUAGAUACAGAACUUGAAUUUCAGGGCCUCCUUGAAUGCAAUGAAUGACUCUUCGCUCCUCUUCUUGAUCAUAUGCCCGCAAGUUAGGUAAAAUGGUUUGUAAUUUUUAAAGCAUGGUAGAAUGAUAUAAAUUCUAUCUUUCCACAUCCAAGGAAAGUUCAAGUUUUUUCUUCUACUGGUGGUUAAAAGAAACUUUAAGCUUUUCUCCUAUAAAGUAUAAUUGGUUUAGAACCUUUUGUAUUUUAUUUAAAAGCCAAACUUUUCAAGAUGGACCUAAUUUACUUCCUCAUCAGAUUUUGUCUUUGAAAGAUUUGUUACUGUUGCGCAUAACCCAGGGUGUCUAUUGAUGGGAUGAAUCUUAUCUUCUUUAAAAAAAAUGUUCAAAGAUUCAGCAGUUUGGUGAUUUCCAAUUUACCAAGCAUGUUAAUCGGCAUUGUGCCACAACUUCCCAUUGAACAGAUUUUUAUUAAAUGGAUUGCAUCAAACAAGUAACAACCAAAGUCCCUAAUAAUGCAACAAAGAAUAGUUCAGUAGUCAUGGUGUCAAAUCAAAGUAGCUAAAUUUAGAGAAACAUCACUUAUUUUACGCAGAAACAUGAUAUGCUUAAAAAAAACAUGCUAUUAGAUAAACGUGUAUAUGGAUUAUAAGGAUAGAAGGAAAAGAAAAAACGAAAAGAGCAUACAAACAACCAAUAUUGUUCCAAGCCUCUGCAUUUUCGGGAUCGAGUUGAACUGCCCGAGUAAACCCACUUCAGUGUCCCUAGCCUCCAUCACCAUAUUCAAUAAUGAGUUUGAUGAAGUUUUCUCUUGGGAGAGAGAGAAAGAUUUGUAACAAAACAAGAAGAUUAUCAUAGUUGGUAGCAAGAACAUGUAUGUGCAGAAAUCUAAUAAAUGGACAAGCCUAAAACCACGGGACACAUCAAGUUACCUUCAAUGCAGCUGCUCCAAUUCCUGCGAUUUUAAAAUGAAAAACGAAAGAAAUGAGCAAAGACAGAGAAGGGAGAAAUGGUAAAUGUCGGGAGAGGGUUAUCACGUGAUUUUUCUUUCUGGGUCUUGUUUGUUUCCCGAGAAAAAAAAUGGAUCUUCUAUUUCCGCAUAGGAAAAAAAAGAAAUAAACAAAGAAAAGGAGAAAUAAAGAAAGAAACUUUCUACCAAACUCAGAUUCCACCUCUGAUGCAUCAAUAUGAGUCUCGCACAAAGUAUGGGGCAUAUGUAGAUUAUGUUUUAUCUGCAUAGGAAAUACAUUUGAUGAAACAAAAGAAAUAAAGAAAGAAGGAACGAAAGAAAAUCAAAGCAUUGAAAAGAAAAGCAAAAAGAAUCCUUUACCUCUUCUUACCAACAUCAUCCGCUUCUCUUCACGCAAGAUCGGAUUCAAAGCAAACAAUACCAUCUGUCACUUCAAAUUUUAUUAAGAGAAAUAAACAAAGAAAAAAAGAAAGAAAGAAAGAAACUGUUCUACCAAACUCAGAGAAAGGAGAAGUCUGUUUCUUGAAAAAAAGAACGAAAGAAAAGAAGACCAGAGUCUGUCUUCUUGAAAGCAAAGCAAAGCUAAGAAAGGAAAAAUGUCUUCUUUAUGUUGUAUCCCCAUAAGCUAUACAUUUGAUGAAACAAAGAAAGAGAAAAAGAAGGAAGGAAAGAAAAGAAGACCAGAGUCCGUCUUCUUGAAAGCAAAAGCAAAGCCAAGAAAGGAAAACUGUCUUGUUGAAAGAAGACCAGAAUCUGCGUAAAAUUGACGAGACCGGCAGUAUAAAUAGGCCGUAUACAUUAUCGCGCACGUGGCAAUCAGUCGAUAACACUUCAGAUCACCCACCCGUGGCUCUAUCAAACCAGCGGAUAUGUCCGUUAUAUACGCAUGUAUUAUAUUUACGCACGUGCCGCAAUACGACACGCGGGUUUUCGUGGCUCUCGGCCGGCCCCGAAACGCUGCUUUUGCCGUCGUUUUUGUGCCUCUUACGUGUAACAGCUUGCAGAGCGGAGUCAAGCUGAGCGCAACUCGGGGGAGAUGGGCGGAGGCAGUGAGGAGCUGGUAAGUGAAGACUCCUUCAAAAGCGUGCUGGGUUAAAAAGAGUCGCAAAGUGAGUCAAAAGAGCGCGAGUUGGCUAGUGAGUUCCUCACUCUGCUUUGAGGCUGAUACAUCCAUCUUCUCUGCUUUCUCUGUUGCUGGGUAUCUGAGAAGUUCUGCUUUUGGGCGACACAGAGGGGAGAAUUUUAUAUUUUUUUUGGAAAUACAAUUUAUUAUUUAAAAUGUAGAUAAAAGUAAAAUGCAAGCUGAAUUUGGAAAAAACCCAGACUUUUGGGUCUUAACUAAUUAAAUUUAAGAACUUUUCGGAUGGGUCAAUUUUUAAUUGGAUCCGAGCCGAGCAGAAAUUCUUAGAAGUGAAUAAAACUCGUCUGAGUUGCAUCUUCUACACACGCCGAGUAACGAGCCACCAACCACCACCGCCAAAAGUUCCCCAAAUUAAGAAUGAAUAAAACAUUAAUGUUUCUUGUUAGAGCCAAGACCACACACAUUUGAGGUUUUUUCAGGAUACUCACUUUUGUUAUCUUCCCAUAUUCUACAACUCCAAAUCUGGCAUUCUCAUCCGACUUUGCCCUGCCACAAACGAGCAUAUUAAAUUAGCAACCCAAUAUGAACUUUCAAAUAAUCGACAGAUCAAAAGCUGUAACUUCAAGUACCUGUUUGCAAGUCCUCGUGACCAUGCAAAGAUAGAUGCUAUACUGUUUGUGCUAGUUUCACCGCCUUUCUGAUGAACCCUGUCAUGUCUCGUAACUGUACCAAGUGCUACUUCUGCUUCUAUUCUCUUUCCGUCAGGGCAGACCUGAAACAAAAUUCACAACUUAACAAGUCAAAAAUAAUAAUAUUAGAAGUUCCACCGGAAGUUUUAACACGUAUAGUAUUAUUAUUUUUCAUUUCACUUUACUAUUCCUGUUGUGAAGUGUGGAAUACUCUUUUCUUUUCUAUUUGGUAAUAAUAAUAAAAAAUAUUAAUAAUUCAAAUCUUCUUCAAAGUUAGUAUAAAUUUUUUUUAUUUUUGAGUUAAGCCACUAAGCUAAUAUGGUUACAUGCUUUUAUUGGAUGGUAGUUAUACAUAUUAUACACCAGAAACUACCAUUGAGAUUUAUAUUAACUACCGAUAGAGAGAAAAACAGGCCACCACCCAUAGUAAAUUAAAAACUUCACAAAUUGAUUUGAGAUGUACCAGGACAGAUGUCAUCAAUCCAAGAGAUCCGAACCCUACAUGAAUACAACUAUAAGUCAGUGAUUCGGCUUUCACUAGAGGGGAAUGCAUGUUUCAUCUAUUUUCUUCAUAAAGCUCCAAAGUUAAAACACAAAGAACAAGUCUCUAAUCCUUAUGUUAAAUUUUACAUUCACCAGCAGCUUGUUACACAAACCUUGGGCUAAGAAAUCACUUUGUACAUCCCCAUCAUAGUUCUUGCAAGCCCACACAUAUUCUCUUGAGAGCAUAAGCCACCAUUUCGUCAAUAAGACGGUGUUCAUACCUUGAAAUUUAAUCAUACAGGUUAGAGAAAAACACAGUGAAGCAGCAGUAAUCAUAAUUCUGAAAAAGUAGACAAGAACUCACCAUAUCCCGGCAGCCUCAAACUUACAUUUCUAUUCAGCCUCAUAAACUUCUUGAAAUAUAUCCUUAAAUCUUCAUCGUACAAACAAAUAUAACUUCAAAUAUAUAUUGAAGCAUGAGGCUAAAAGUAUAUUUUCAACAAAACUACCAGACGAGCAAUACAGUAAAAGAAUGAGUUUAGAAGCCAGGUCAACCAAGCAAACACACCUUCCAUAAUAUUUCUUAAGAAUAGUACUUUUGGUGCUAGGAUAAAGUGGCCACUUUUUCUGGUAAGCAGUUGCUACUGGAGCCUCCGCAAAAGCACGGAUAGACUGCAUUCAUGUAUCAGAUAUAAUUUAACAAAAUCAGUCACUUGCAACAACACUGAAUCCAAUGCUAAGGGACAAGACAGUAGCAGAACCAAACCUGAUCAGUGUUAUAUAUGGAUAAUGUUACUCCCUCAGCACCAGUAAAGUUGAAAAUCUCCAACUCUGUCUUCUCAUCUUGUCCUUCUGGAACUGCAAGCAAUUUACACAUUGAAGUUUUAUAAGUUAUUAUCCACUCCACAUACAGAAAAGUUCAAGAAGUGACAUUUGUAAAAUAUUAAAAUAGAAAAUUAAAAGAGAAUAUCUGAAACCAUAGAAGUAGGGAAUACAAAUUUACCAAAAACUAACUUAAGCUUUCUAGCUCCUUUGAUGACUGUAUCAGUGGCACGAUAACGAUCUCCAAAAGCAUGUCUUCCAAUGCAUAUAGACUUUAUCCAACCUGACAAUACAAUUAUCAGGAUGGUAUAGCUUCAGACUGGCAUAAAGGAAUGAACAGCAAUAAUGUCACCAAAAAAAAGUACCUGGGACAAGCCGAAGAACAUUUUUACAAAUAAUUGGUUGUCUAAAGACAGUACCUGGGAAUAACACCAACCACCAAACCUCAUCAUGAACCAGCUUAUAAUGAAUGCAACAGAGGUAGAUGAAAAUGAUAAGGUGAAGUUGUUACUGAUCAUUCAGAAUAUUCCUAACGGUCCCAUUUGGACUUUUCUACAUGUGCUUCAAAUUAAGUUUCACUGGACUUGGAAUAGUACUCCAAGCUGUCUACAAACUUUUUUUUUUUAUAAUCAAAUCAUACAUAGUUCUGCUCCAUUUAUUUAAUUUUUUAUUAGACUUCAUGGAUAAUACAGUAUUGAAUUUAAAGCAAACUGAAAAUAAAUCGCAAUGUUUUUCGGCUCUGUCGGAUUUCAAAAUUUUCUAUAUUUUAAGAGAAAUAAAAGAAAAAACUCUACAUCGGUGACUUGUGUGAUUUACGGUUAUUUCAAGAGAACUUGAGAAAUGAAAUUGAGUCUCUAGCAAGGUAAAUAAAGAAUUGAAAGUAAUAACUUUUGAAUCUACUGAUAUUUUUUGAAAAAGUUGAAAAAUUUGCUUUCAGAGAACAAGAAGGCUUCAAAAAUGGAUUUUGAAAAUUAACAAAAUAAAACUAUGUUCUCAUCAAAUGCUAAGAAAACAUUAAUUCUUUCCCUUAAAAAUCUAAAUACUACAUAUACAUUUCUUAAAGACUGCUUGUUCUGAAAUAAAACAAUGCAUUUUUUUUUUUCAUCUUUUUCAGAAGUACCUAUUACAUUUGAAAUCCAUUGCAUUUCAUCUUUCAUUCCAUUUCCCAAUCACUUAUGAAGUAAUCGAAAAUUACAUGAGUGAUCAAAAAAAGUAGAAUUUCAUCUUUCAUUUCACCUGAAAUAUGAAAGUUUUUAAAAAUUAUUAUAAUUUCAAUUAGUCUUUUAUCUUGAAGUCUGAUAAAAUAAAAAAAAAACAUUGCAUUUCAUUUUUAGACCGGCAGCACAUAUAGGCCGUAUACAUCAUCGCGCACGUGGCAACCAAUCGAUUAUACUUCACGUCACCUACCCGUGGCUCUAUCAAACCAGCAGACAUCUCCGUUAUAUACGCGCGUAUUAUAUUUAAGCACGUGCCGCAAUACAACACACGGGUUUUCGUGGCUCUCUGCCCGAACUCGAAACGCUGCUUUUGCCGUCGUUUUUGUGUCUCUUACGUGUAACAGCUUGCAGAGUUGAGUCAACCUAUGCGCGACUCGGGGGAGAUGGCGGGAGGCAGUGAGGAGGUGGUAAGCGAGGACUCCUUUAAAAGCGUGCUGGGUUUAAGAGAGUCCCAAGCUGAGUCAAAGGAGCGCGAGUUGGCUAGUGAGUUCUUCACUCGCUUUGAGGCUGAUACACCCAUCCUCUCUGCUUUCUCUGUUGCUGGGUAGUGGAGAUUUUCUGCUUUUGGUCGAGACACAGAAGGGAGAGAGUUUUUUUGUUUUGUUGGAAAAAUUACGAUUUAUAAUGUUAAAAAGUAAGAAAUGCAAUAAUUUAUUGUUUAAAAUGUAAACAAAAGUAAGAUGCAGGCUGAAUUUGGAACACACCCCAAAUUUUGGGUCUUGACUAAUUAAAUUUAAGGACUUUUAGCCCAUGUAAACGAAAGUGGGACCAUAAAGAAAUGAAACUUUUCGGGCGGGUCAAUCUUUAGUUGGAUCCGACCCGAUAAGGAAUUCCUAGGAGAAUAAAACGCGGUCUGUAGUUGCAUCUUCUACACGCCGAGUUGGAUCCGACCCGAGCAGGAUUCUUAGAAGAAAUAAAAGGCGGUCGGAAUUGCGUCUUGUACCCGCUGCGUAACGAGCCACCGCCAAAAGCACCCCAAAUUGAGAAUGAACAAAACGUUCAAGUUUCCCGCUAGAGCCAAGACCGCAAUUUACCUACUAACGGCUACUGGCCUCACUUUUCAAGCUGCUAACGCCUCAAAUCUCCUCUCAUCUUCCCAAGAUUCUCCCCUCUUUUCCCCUCAUUUUCCCGAGAAAGUUAGGACUGGUUUCGAUUGCGUCAUUCGCUCCUCUCGCGCGAUCUCCACUGUCCGUUUCUUCUCUCACUCUUCUCUUUUUUUUUUUUUCUUUUUCCUUUUGUUCAACUCGCCAUCUUUGGUUGUGUUGCAGUUUGGUUGCACUGUUGCUGAUUACAAAUUUUCUUUACGUGGAAUUCCUGAGGAUUCUCACGAGUAUCAUCGCAAAUUAUCUGAGGUUUGCCUUUCUUUUCUCUGCCAAUAUGCUUUUUUACAUGUUUUAUGAGCUUCAACGUCAUUUGUAUCUUCAACUCAUAUCAGAAGGCAUGUAUUUAUCCCUGGAAAUUGGAAGAAUUGAUUAUUCAAUUUAAAAAGGAGUUAUUAAAUCCAAGAUAUACUACUUUUUUUUUAGAUGGAAUUUAUAAGCAUGAAAAUCAUAUUAUUGUGCUCCAGCUGUAGUGAAAAUUUGUCGUGUCGGUUUUAGGUUCAUCUACGUUCCGCCAAAAGAAUACUAAAGUUAUGUGAUGCCAACAAAGGUUUCUACGUGAAAGCUGGACAGUUUGUGGCUGCCUUGAGGCAGGUCCCACGAGAAUACUCCUCUACUCUUUCGUCCUUACAAGACAAGGUUUGGUUCAUAUUUAGUCUGUGUGAAGAUGUAUUUCUAUAGACAGAGAUGCUUUUUGCGUCUGAUUGGUCUUUACUGCUAUUUUGCUGGUUAAUAAUUCUGAAGGCAGCUCCUUGUCGUUUCAAAGUUAUAAAAGAAGUGUUGAUCAACAAUUUGGGGCAGAAUUUGUCCAAGAUGUAAGUCUUUCUUCUUUAUUUCGAUGUGAUGUUUGUCUCAAUUAGGCUUGAAAUUUUCAGUGACUGAUUUGAAAUGUUUGAGAUGACGUUUAAUUUGUAUAACUUGUUCCUAUCAAAUGCUGAUAUAGAACAAAAAAAGGCUAUGUUAACCUCUCCUAUUCUUUUACAUAUAGGAAGACCGCUAUUGAAAGGAAGAUUCUAUAUUUAUGUAAAUUUUUCAAAUGUAUAUUGAAAUUAAGUUUUUCAUAUUUCGCAUAUUGACAAAUAGCUUGGGCCUGCCUUAAUCAAAGUUUGCUUUGGCUAAGCUUGAACAGAGUUAAAGUUUUUAUAGCUUCAUUUGUCUUAAUGAGUUGAAUACAAAUCCAUGUUUGGUUAAAAAUUUGUGAAUUGUGGACAUGUUGAUUAUAUAUUAACAUAUUUUAAAUUUAUACCUAUAUAUCAAUAUAUGUUUUUAUGUACAUAUACUUUUAUUCUGACUAUAUAUCUACUGUUUAUUUUUAUUUUUUUGAUCUUUAUAUCUUAUGUUUAUUAUAUAUAAUUUAUUUAAUUUAUUAAAAAUGACAUUCAAAGUUGAGACAAUUCAAGCUUAAGUUCAAGCCUCUUUAAAUAUUGAGCAUAAAUUGAGUCAAAGUUGAGUUCUCUAAAUUUUUACAUAAACUGAAUUAGGACCCAAAGAAAACCUCAAAUCAAGCUUCUUGAAAAAUCAAUCUAUAUAAUAUUUGACUAAACAGACAUUAAAUACUCAAUUAUUUGGCUCGAUACGCUUAUGUUUACUGCCCUUUUUGAACAAACAAAAGUUGAUGAAUCUUGACAAACCUGUAUUUGAUAUGGAUAUAUUGUUGCGUGCUAUUUUGGAUGUUUAGGGAUAAAAUGAAGUAGGUUAGGAGGUUAUAUAUGGCAAACUAUGGUCAUUUGCCUACUUGAGGUUUUGAAAAAAAAAAUAGAUAUUACACUUUUUGUGUA
rnacentral:lncRNA from 1 species